rnacentral:rRNA from 1 species
CAGCCGCCGCGGUAAUACGAAGGGGGCUAGCGUUGUUCGGAAUCACUGGGCGUAAAGGGUGCGUAGGCGGAUUCUUAAGUCAGGGGUGAAAUCCCGAGGCUCAACCUCGGAACUGCCUUUGAUACUGGGGAUCUUGAGUCCGGAAGAGGUGAGUGGAACUGCGAGUGUAGAGGUGAAAUUCGUAGAUAUUCGCAAGAACACCAGUGGCGAAGGCGGCUCACUGGUCCGGAACUGACGCUGAGGCACGACAGCGUGGGGAGCAAACAGGAUUAGAUACCCCUGUAGUCCCUGUCUCUUAUAC